rnacentral:rRNA from 1 species
UACGUAGGCAGCGAGCGUUGUUCGGAGUUACUGGGCGUAAAGCGCGCGUAGGUGGUUCGUUAAGUUGGAUGUGAAAUCCCCGGGCUCAACCUGGGAACUGCAUCCAAAACUGGCGAGCUAGAGUAUGGUAGAGGGUGGUGGAAUUUCCUGUGUAGCGGUGAAAUGCGUAGAUAUAGGAAGGAACACCAGUGGCGAAGGCGACCACCUGGACUGAUACUGACACUGAGGUGCGAAAGCGUGGGGAGCAAACAGG